rnacentral:rRNA from 1 species
GACGAACGCUGGCGGCGUGCUUAACACAUGCAAGUCGAACGGAAAGGCCUCUUUCGGGGGGUACUCGAGUGGCGAACGGGUGAGUAACACGUGAGUAACCUGCCCUUGACUUUGGGAUAACUUCAGGAAACUGGGGCUAAUACCGGAUAGGAGCUCCUGCUGCAUGGUGGGGGUUGGAAAGUUUCGGCGGUUGGGGAUGGACUCGCGGCUUAUCAGCUUGUUGGUGGGGUAGUGGCUUACCAAGGCUUUGACGGGUAGCCGGCCUGAGAGGGUGACCGGCAACAUUGGGACUGAGAUACGGCCCAGACUCCUACGGGAGGCAGCAGUGGGGAAUAUUGCACAAUGGGUGGAAGCCUGAUGCAGCAACGCCGUGUGCGGGAUGACGGCCUUCGGGUUGGAAACCGCUUUCGCUCAUGACGAAGCUUUGUGUGACGGUAGUGGGUAAAGAAGCACCGGCUAACUACGUG